GAUGAUAGAAAACAAAGUAUUUGGACUGGAGUUGGAAGAAGAUAAGACCCGUGAAACCUCAUCAUCAUCUAUAAGCCCCCCCCCCAAAAGAAAGAAACAGAGAAGCAAAAACUGGUGGCUGCAGCGCUACAGAUGCUACAGAGAGAGUGGCUGUGUUCGGGUGUUUAUCGAAUGGUUUUCAACAGAUGACUUCAAUAUCCCAAAGCGUGUUGAUGGCACUGACAGUUACAGUCAACAAGUUUGCUUCAUCAAAUGUUCAUGCAGUGAAUAAAAAAGAAGGUAAGAGACCACCCAAAGCAGCAACAAGGGCAGCUGACAUUGGAAGAAGAGGAGUCCUUUUAUCUACCAUGGUUGAUGUCUUUUCAGUCAAUGACUCAAUUAGCACUGAGCUUCUUAAAAGAUAUUCGAAGAAAUCAGAGGAAAACAAGGGCCAAAAAUGACAAGGAGGUAUAGCAUUAGUUGCCACGGUACUACAUCCUACUGCUAAAUUCUCCUCUCUUUUUUAUGGGUGGUUCUUGUCGAAUUGAAUUACAUUGACUUAUAUUUGAAGAAAUGAAUGGAGGGAAGGGUAUUCUUGAUUGGCCAAAUAUAUAUAUAUAUAUAUAUAUAUAUAUAAAGAAAUACCCUUUCAAUUUGCUGAAAUUCCAGCCUCAAGUUUUAAGAUUUAAAUCUGAAUUCUUCGUAUUGGAAAACUACGAUAUGAAAUCUUCGUGUAUCAAAUGCAUGGAUCUAGUGGAUUUUUCACAUUUCUUUCCGUACUCCAUUGCUUUGGACAAAUAUCUGGUGGCUAAAAUCACAUGUGGUCCCUCAAGUAUUAAAAUCAAAUCUUUUAGUUUAUUUUUCUCCAACUCGAAUCCUAUGCUGAGGUUUAUCAAUAUCGGUGAUCAAAUCCCUUUUUCCCACUUAAGUGUGUGCCCGUAGAAGCUCAUGGAAACUCAUAUAGAGGAACAUAAACUGAAUGAAGGGACUCAAUUAUUUGUAAAUCGGAUGUAGGCGAUUCAAUUGACCAAAACUUCGAGUGAUCAAUUUGAAAAAGAUACAGAACUCGAGGGACUGCGCAUGUUUUUAUCCAAUUAUCUUUUGGGUCCCCUCUAGUCUGACCGGUCCAGAACGACAUCUGGGAGAGUUUUUUAUACUUUCAGCACAAGAAAUGUAAUGGCCUCUUUGAAAGAACAUACUAGGAUGGGCUCGUGAAUGGACUGACUAGUUCCUCUCUUUUAAUGGCCCAAUUUUCACUCUGCCGAACGUAGCCCUUUCUUCUCCUCCUCCUCGUUCUUCUUCUUCUUCUUCUCCUCCUUAUUAUUAUUUUUAACAAACGAACAAUAAAAAUCCUUUGGCCAGAAAUUUGGAUUUAUCAAAUAGUAUUAAUGAAAAUAAUAAAUGUUGUUUAAAACAUUUAUGUGUAGUAAUUUUUCGAGUCAUCUAAAUGUUAAACAACAUUUAUUAAAAAAUCCUUUAGGCCACAUGUUAAACGACAUUUGUGGGGUCUAUUUUUAAAAUAUUUUUUGAAUCCAUUUUAUAUGUUUGAAUACAUCAGUAUUAUUCUUAACAAAGGAAUAGACGUGAUAACUUCUCCAAUUUUUUAUUUGAAAUGUAAAGCAUACAAGGAAGUUGAAUUCAGGAAUUAAUAACAUGUGAUAUAUAAAAUGUCUUGCCAUGAUAUGAUGUCGAAAUUUUGGGGCUCGAACACAAAAUAAAGCAGUGGUCUGGAUCAUAGGCUGUUCUGUUUAGCCAAAGAAAAUUGUGUCUCGUUUAUGUCCAUAAAAAUGUUGAACACGACAUAAUUUUUAAAGCUAGGCAUUGUACGUGUCACAUGUUAAGCCUUUAACUCGGCCUGCAUAUCUCUAGCAUUCCAUUCCACAAAAUGAAUGUCGUCGACAUUGUCGGAGUACGGGCCUUUAGAGCACAACCACCUUUUUCUCGAGACCUUUCAGGUCAGGUUUGUUUUGCGAUAUGGAAAUAGAAAUGUCAUUUAAACUCAUAUUUUCCAUGUCAGGAUAGCUACAGAAUCAUCGUCAAUGUUUUUUUUUUUUUGUUUGUUAAUGAUGAAAUCAUUCGAUUACUAGAGGGAGAUGAGAUGCUGGUGUAGAAAAUGCCGAUAGCAUUACAUAUUUGAUGCCGCUAGCUUGUGUUUUGCUUGCAUUUCUGCCGCGUAUCUAUCUAUAUAUAGGGAGGUGUGAAUUCAUCUAAGGAUCUCACAGAGGAUCAGGUGCUAGCAAUUCACCAUUUCAUUAGUGGGUGUUUCUCAAUUGAUUGCAACAUUAAUUAAUACGUGAGUCUUUUAAACACAUAAUUAUUAAUUUGUAUCUAGCUAAUCAUGAACGCGUUGCAUAAAUUAUACACGUGGCGGCUCGUCACACCAUUACUAGUGAUUGUAGUCUAAAUUAAGCUCUACCAGGAAUUACAUACCUCCUCAAAGAAGAAACAUGUUUUUCAUAAAAGCAGAAAUAAAUUUUUCAUCGAGUUUCAGGUCGAAAAUCUUGCUUAAUUAAUCACCUCUUUAUGUAUUUAGUUUGUGACUAGAUCUUUUAACAUGGUGCCAAUUGGGAUUUGAUAUAAAAUAUUCAAUAAUAAACAUGGCCUCCAUCAACUAUGAAGAAAGGGAGAGAGUGCUGGUCUGAUGGGUCGAUCUUUUAUUUUAGAAAUCUAGAUCAAUCAUGCAUGGUUUCUGAUUCGUAACACAUGCAGCUAUAGGGGUGGCGGCAAUGAUAAGGAACAAGAGGAGACCAUUGUCACGAGAAAUGGGAACACUAGCUAGCUUGUAGUUAAAACGCAAAUGGAGACGGUAAUAGAAAUUAGCUACAUGUGUAUAAAACGACAAAGCCACCCCGUUUCCCCGCUGUAUGUUACGGGGGAUUGAAGGUUUUGUUUUGGUAGUGGUUGGAAGGGCAACGGAUGUUCUUCCCGUCCUCACUUAGAUCCUUAUCCAAAAUGAUGGACAGCACUGACCACUCCUAAUUAAUUAUGUUCUUAUCUAGUAUAUAUGCAUUCAUUAAUUUUGUUUAGCUGAUCUUUAGCUUCUCUUUCCUCUUUGUUUAGGGUUUUGUACUAUUUUUAUUUGUUUAGGGUUUUGUACUAUUUUUAUUUUUACUUUACUACAUAGAAGACUCCCAUUACAGAACCUAGCUAAGAUCGAUGGUUAUACAUGUGGGAAAUGAACAUGUGUGUCAAAAUUAGGAACUGACUGGGUAUAGUUGAAUGAAUAAAGAAAUGCAAGGGGGCAUAUAAUUGUUCAUGACAUCAAGUCCAAUGACAGCUGCAAAGCAGACAGGGUGAAGGAGAGAGCAAAAUUUGCCAUAAAACAUGAACACUUUUUUCUUUUUUUAUAAAUUGCUUUUAAAAUAAGAUCCUUACAAAUGAGAUAAAAAAACACACAAUAAACAAAGUGAGGCAUGUUCCAUUGGGUCAGGAAGAUCUGAGGCAGGAUCUCCAGGGCUUCAAAAAGGGUCACGGAGAUGCAUAUGAAAUAUUCCGACAUCAACUUUGACAUUUCCCCUGUCAUCUUCGAACUUAUCUGACUAGCCAUCACCCCAUACUCCUUCCAUCAUCCUUUCAUGUCCACAUUAAACCAAGAUUUUGUGUUGGUCUGAAAACUAGCCAGAAGCACUGCUAUGAUGAAUGGAGCCUUGUCUGAACACUUAGGGGACAUGGUGGAGGCUUUGUCCUUUCUUCUGCUCAAGUUUUUUCUCUGGUCGAUUUGGAGGAAUCCCACCUAAACAAAUCUGAUUAUUUGAUCUUUAUUUGGAUCAUAUCUAGAUAGCGGCCACCAAAGUUAGGUUGCGGUACUUUCUUGUACUGUUUGUUGAAACAGAGUAUAGGUAUGCUAAAAUAUUAUAAAAACAAUCUGGGUGUCUCAAUUAUAGAAUUAUUUCGUGUAGUAGAUGAUUAAUUACAUGUGAAUGAUUCAGUCAGUCAAUGAUCCUUUUUUUUUUACCUCUCUCUAUGAUAUCGUUCUAGGUUUCUUCAUUCUUGCUUUCUUCUUGGCCUGUAAGGACCUCAAUUCUUGAAUUUAUUGGGAGUAGUUGGAGAAUUUGAGACUUUAUGUAUGUGUGUCCUUCAUAAAGCUCAUUUUCCAUGAAUUGAGUGCUACAGAUAUGGGGAGCGUGCAUGAUAGGGAAGACGAAAGGGAAAUUAAAAUUGACCGCUAAUUGGCAUCAUUAAUUAAGUCCGACAAGCAUGAAACACGAAUUGAAUUUGGAACCAACCAACAAGGAUGGCCAAAAUACAAUACUACUCCUAAACAUCAAAACCGAGAGGAAGAGGUGAGAGAUCCUUUAUCUUUAAAUAAAAAGCAUCCAUUUCUAAUUAAAGUUUUUAUACCUUUCAGCAAGUUUAUUUAUCAUAAACUAAAUUUCAAAGGCAGGAAAAAUGACAAAAUAUUCUAGCACUGCUAUGUAUGUGAUUGAUUACCCAAUUCCUUGGUGCAAAGGGAUUUUUGUUCGGAGCAUAUUCAUUUAUUUGCAUAUUGUAUGAUGACAUGGUAGUUUUAUGAGAUAUCAAGUGCUGAUUUGCAAUUACAGAGCAUGGGGCUCCAUCCAAACAAGGACUGAGCAUAAAUUCUCCACACAGAUGCUGCCUAAAAGGCACAGCACAUUUUGUACCCACCAUAAAUAAAUUUUGAAAACAAGAAAUUGAUUUCCAACUUUUGCUCUCAGGUUGUUUCCCAUUGCAUUGACAGGAAAAAGAAAAGAAGAAAAUUGUAAGGAACAAGAUCUUUUGAGAUCCAUUUCUUUUUUACUUUGGCAGCUUUUUUUUGUUUUUGGUUGGUUACAUUUGGCCGCCCUCUAAUUUCCAUCAUCUCUUCUAGAGAAGCUUCAAAGGUAAUAACUACAGUGACCGGAAGUAAUGCGCAAUCACCGUAUAUUAUUCUUCCCUUUAAGGCACCAGAAAUAAAUCGAAACAUUCAUCAUUGAUCAAACUUUUGAGUUUCGACUUUUGAAAAGAAAGGGAAAAGAAAAUUACAUUUAUGGCUUAAACAUUGUACGAUGUUCUAACUGCCAUGUCUUGCUAGAACUAAAUAUUAUGAAACAUACUCAUCUGAUUAUUUUGAAGUUGGUUUCCAGAUAGAGAAGGGUGUAUGUAACCAAAGUGGUCUUGAUUUUGCAGAUCUUCCCUGCAAGAAUGAGCAUGCUUGAGAAAUCGCCAUCAGAUGAUAUAUAUUUUGAUGUUAAAAAGGCAGACAGAACCUUGGAUUAAUGAAUUAGGCCAAGUACCUGAAAAUGAGUAGCUGAAAAACCCUGUGAAUAAUCCAAUACACUCUCCAUCGAAGCUUGGUUGUUGGAGAGAGCAGAAUUAUUCUGCUAUAUAUUGUAAAAAAUAAACAACAAAGCAAGGUUAAUAUCAAGAAUAACGAAGGUAUGAUACAAAACGUGAAAAUUCUCUAAUUGGCAUUCUAUAUGUAGUAAAUAUUGCUAUAAGGCUGUAUGUUUAUGAACAAACCAUGGAGAAGUUGAAAGCUGGAGAGCUAGCAGUAUCGUCAAGAAAAGAAGGCAUUUGUUGAUCCUGCUUGUGACGUCUAUGUUCUUUCAUUUUUUGGCUAUAAUUGGCACCAUUAUUCAGCAACGUAGUAUCCUUGGGUGAUGGAUAAAAGAAGUCAUUAUCGUGGUUGAAGUGACUUUCAUCUUCAUGGAAAUGUGGAGGACCAGAAGAUGCAUCGGAGACCAUAGACAAGUCCUCCUCCUCCUCCCCCUCCCCCUCAUCGUCUUCUUCGCAGUCUUCUUUAGUGCUUUUCCCUUUUCUACAAAAACAGGUACUCUUUGCAUCAACAAAGUCAGUGCUAUUACCUCUAUGUUUAGGAUUUGGGUGGGGAAGAAAAGAUUGUUCCAAGUAUAGAGUCCAACCAGACUCACAGUCAUCACUGCAUUCUGAGGCUAAGCAAUUACUCAUUUUCCGCUUGGCUAGAGAGUAGCUAGUUUUCCUUGUUUAGAACAAGUCUCAAAGAAACAAUCACUACAAGAGAUGAGAAAUUUUGUUGAAUGAGGCUGCCUUUUUAUGAAGGAGGAGAGCUAGCUAGAUAGUUGUUGUACCUAGCUAAGGGCAAUAUUACUAACAAACACAGUGGGGCUGUGUAUGUCUAUUUUUGGUGCUGAGCUACGGAUAGAAACUUUGAAGUGUGGAGAGGGUGUGUAAAAAACAAAGAGAAUCAGGUUCAAAUCCUAGCGUAUUUUUGUCCUCACUCUCCGCUUUCAGGCUCUCUAUGUGAAUGGAUCAAGAUUGCCAGUUGGGAGUGUAGUAGUGGGUGCAUGUAAUAAGAGAGAGAGAGAAGGGAAAGGCACAACCUCUUCACAUGCUGGACAGCGAGGCACUGCGUCCUCGCUUAACAAAACCAGAAUAAAAGAAGAAGUAAAAGCUAGCCCAUCUCCUUGGGCUAUGGAACCACUUGUGUGGUGAUGCUGAUAAUGAAGAAACACAGCCUCCACUCCGGGCUCCUCUGUAGAGUUUUUGCUGCCCUCAGAGGCUCAUACACCCACACAAAUGUGAGGCAUGGCUGCCCGAGUGGAGACUGAAGAUUGGAGAAGCUUUUCUUGGGGCAAGGUCUGCAGGGAGUGCGAUGCUACUAAUGCAGUUGACUAGGUUUUUAUGAAUCUCCACAUGCUGUCACAUUUUAGCCUCUCUACUUUUCAAAUACUAUAUAGUCCAUUCGUUUUGCAGUC